rnacentral:rRNA from 1 species
UACGUAGGGGGCAAGCGUUGUCCGGAAUUAUUGGGCGUAAAGCGCGCGCAGGCGGUUUCUUAAGUCUGAUGUGAAAGCCCACGGCUCAACCGUGGAGGGUCAUUGGAAACUGGAGAACUUGAGUGCAGAAGAGAAAAGCGGAAUUCCACGUGUAGCGGUGAAAUGCGUAGAGAUGUGGAGGAACACCAGUGGCGAAGGCGGCUUUCUGGUCUGUAACUGACGCUGAGGCGCGAAAGCGUGGGGAGCAAACAGG